AAAGUCAGCCGCAUCUUUGGAGGCGCGCUGGGCCCUAUUGUCCUGCCUCGUCCUGUGCAUGAUUACGAGCGUCCCAAGCUGCAAGCAGAUCCGUAUCUUAUCAGGAAAGCAAAUGCUGGAAGCGAGGGCCAACUUCGGGAAAAUGAUGAAGGAGUGCAGUAAAGAACUUGCAAAAAUGGCCUCGCUCGCACCAAAAAACGACAUUGUCCAGAGGUUGUCACUUAUUUGCGCCGCAUACAACAGCUGCGUUGGCGAAGCAAAUGAGAAGAUAAAGGAAGGUGUCCAGCAGGAGCCUAACCAAAUG